CGCAUAUUGCACUCUCUGGUAUUCCGGAGAGUAUGCUUGUUUGAGUAUCUGUAAACAUCUCAAAUCUCUUUUUUUUUUUGGAGAGAGAAUUGGAUUUGAGCAAUCCCGACUGUUUUUUACAAUGGGAAGGUUGCUUGAAAUGCAGAUGCAGCUGGACAUUCUUCUGAGCUAAAAGCAUAUUUAUUUAGUCCCGUAAAACGGAUUAUUACUUUUUGCUUCAGCUAACAUAAAGGUAGAAUGGACAAUCCAAAGCUGAUUGCAGGAAAACUUGUUCUUGAUUGAACUUGUGAACUCGAUCUCAAAUCAAGUAAGACUACCCGCUGAACUUAA
rnacentral:misc_RNA from 1 species